GGUGUUCGGGUUGUCAUGCCAAUGGCAUUGCCCGGUAGCUAAAUGCGGAAGAGAUAAGUGCUGAAAGCAUCUAAGCACGAAACUUGCCCCGAGAUGAGUUCUCCCUGACUCUUAAAGAGUCCUGAAGGAACGUUGAAGACGACGACGUUGAUAGGCCGGGUGUGUAAGCGCAGCGAUGCGUUGAGCUAACCGGUACUAAUGAACCGUGAGGCUUAACCUUACAACGCCGAAG
rnacentral:rRNA from 1 species